GUGGGGAAUAUUGGGCAAUGGGCGCAAGCCUGACCCAGCAACGCCGCGUGAAGGAAGAAGGCCCUCGGGUUGUAAACUUCUUUUAUCAGGGACGAAACAAAUGACGGUACCUGAUGAAUAAGCCACGGCUAACUACGUGCCAGCAGCCGCGGUAAUACGUAGGUGGCAAGCGUUAUCCGGAUUUACUGGGUGUAAAGGGCGUGUAGGCGGGUCUGCAAGUCAGAUGUGAAAUCUCAUGGCUCAACCAUGGAACUGCAUUUGAAACUGUAGAUCUUGAGUGAUGGAGAGGCAGGCGGAAUUCCGUGUGUAGCGGUGAAAUGCGUAGAUAUACGGAGGAACACCAGUGGCGAAGGCGGCCUGCUGGACAUUAACUGACGCUGAGGCGCGAAAGCGUGGGGAGCAAACAGG
rnacentral:rRNA from 1 species